CGCGUGUGUGAAGAAGGCCUUCGGGUUGUAAAGCACUUCCAGCUGUGAGGAAAGGCGAGUGGUUAAUACCCGCUUGCUGUGACGUUAACAGCAGAAGAAGGACCGGCUAACUCCGUGCCAGCAGCCGCGGUAAUACGGAGGGUCCGAGCGUUAAUCGGAAUUACUGGGCGUAAAGCGCGCGUAGGUGGUUCAGUCAGUCAGAUGUGAAAGCCCCGGGCUCAACCUGGGAACUGCACCUGAUACUGCUGAGCUAGAGUACGGUAGAGGGCAGUGGAAUUUCCGGUGUAGCGGUGAAAUGCGUAGAGAUCGGAAGGAACACCAGUGGCGAAGGCGACUGCCUGGACUGAUACUGACACUGAGGUGCGAAAGCGUGGGUAGCAAACAGGAUUAGAUACCCUGGUAGUCCACGCCGUAAACGAUGUCAACUAGCCGUUGGGGGACUUGAUCCUUUAGUGGCGAAGCU
rnacentral:rRNA from 1 species